UGUUCUCUCCCUGCACACAAACUUGUUUCUGCAGCAGGGAGGAGAGCAGUCAGGCAGCUCUUGAGUUGCUUCACCAUCUGUUUCUCAGCUCUUUGUUCAAAAUGCCUGAUCAGAAGCCUGUAAACCGUGUUGUCUUCUGGACACAGUUCCAAGCUAAGGAGAGAGAAGUGAGGGAAAGGAGGUACAAAAAACAGAGACUGCAUCUCCACAUCCAGUGGUAUGGAGAGAUGCAGCUUUAGAAGAUACUCUUCAGAAAAGAAAACACCCAUAUUUGUAGGAAGUUUGCACUAGUCACAAAGUGAAGGAGCUGAACAGAAAUGGCAACAGUAACCUCCCAAGGCACUCCUGACUGAAGUCUACAUUGCUAGAUAAACCAAGUGUCCUCAGCCUCUCCUCAGGCGAAGUACCCUCUGGCCCUUUUAUCCGCUUUGCUGCCUACCUCUGCGCACUUUCAAGGAGCCAAACAUCAUUUUUAAUUGUGGAUUCCAGAACUGCAUGCAGUAUUCAAGGGCCAGAGUAAUCCCAAGAAAACAGAAGAUACUCUGAAAACACAGAUGUUAUUCAGUCCACUGGAAAUCAUCUCCCCAAGAGAUCUAUACUUCACCUCAGUAAGGUUGAGUUAGCCUUCAAAAAUACACAGAAGGAAAUAAAAGCCUCAGAGAGGUAGCAAAUCCAGCUAAGCCACAAAUGAGUCAACAUGUCCGUUAAGAUGCAUUGACUUUCCAUCCAUUUACAUUUAGAGACGAGGGGAACAAAAAAGACCUUUCAGUCCAGCUCUGUGUUCUGAGAUUUUGUGUCAGCAGCAUGUGGAAUUUCCUUCGGUCACUUAAUGUCAUCAUAUCGUAUAGGCAACAGCACUCGGGACAGCACAGCAGCGCUGCUUUAUGGCUGCAGCACAAUGUACUAAGCCAACUGAACCAUAAGUCUUAGGGCCACCAGUUGAAAAUUCAUCUGAAACGUGACUUCAGCAGUGCAAAUGCUCAACUUGUCCUGAUGGUUGUUCCAGACCUCAGUAACACAUGCAAUUGCUGUAACUGACAGCACAAAUGCUGCCUUGAUAGCAUGUAUGCUGUUGCCACCACCGAAAGGUA
rnacentral:lncRNA from 1 species